UACAGAGGGGGCAAGCGUUGUUCGGAAUUACUGGGCGUAAAGGGCGCGUAGGCGGCCUGCUAAGUCGAACGUGAAAUCCCCGGGCUCAACCCGGGAACUGCGUCCGAUACUGGUUGGCUUGAAUCCGGGAGAGGGAUGCGGAAUUCCAGGUGUAGCGGUGAAAUGCGUAGAUAUCGUAAGGAAGACCAGUGGCGAAGGCGGGUCUCUGGACAGUUCCUGACGCUGAGGCACGAAGGCCAGGGGAGCAAACGGG
rnacentral:rRNA from 1 species